AAAAUAAAAUAAAAUAAAGAAGAAAGAAAGAGAGCAUUAGUAGUGAAACAAAAAUGACAACCAUAUUAAUUUAGCUUCUCAGAGACGACGUUCUUCUGGAAAUAUGGGGCUUACCUUGAAGUUGAGUAUGAUUCAACAACAUGGACAUUCUCCCUAAGUUCAGAUCUGGUUGAUACCCUGUGUAGGUUUAUGCUUUACUCACUUUUUUCUUUCUCGUUUUACCCGACACUUCAAUAUAUUUCAAUUCCAUUCAAGAAGUAUUGAUGUUAUAACUAUAGCUUCUUUGGAUGAUACUUCCUGUGAUGCUUUCAAUACACCAUUCUAAUUAAGAAAGGGCACGCUUGAAUUUGAUUUUGAAGGUUUGAAGGUUGGUUUUUGAGAUCAAAAUAUUGUAUUCUUUUGUGAUUCUAAACCAUUUUUUACUUUAUAGUAAUUUAUGAGAUCUAUUAUUUUAUUGUUCUGCACUCUACAAUCAAGUGAUCAAAUUCUUUAUUUCACUAUCCCUUGCAUAUAUUGAUCACAAAAUUUGACCCGUGUUUAACGCCCAAACGUGACUUCCAUUUAGCGGUGGUUGUAGUAUAGAUCGGGCGGUCGAUUCCACAAGGAGGCAAAGAAGUAAAGUAAUCAAUAAAUAAAGGUUAGAGAUAAAUAAUAUGAGGCAAAUAAAACAAGUGAUAUUUUUGUUGUUUUUGAAAU